UCUAUACAGUGAAACUGCGAAUGGCUCAUUAAAUCAGUUAUCGUUUAUUUGAUAGUACCUUACUACUUGGAUAACCGUGGUAAUUCUAGAGCUAAUACAUGCUAAAAACCUCGACUUCGGAAGGGGUGUAUUUAUUAGAUAAAAAACCAAUGCCCUUCGGGGCUCCUUGGUGAUUCAUAAUAACUUAACGAAUCGCACGGCCUUGCGCUGGCGAUGGUUCAUUCAAAUUUCUGCCCUAUCAACUUUCGAUUGUAAUAUAGAGGAUUACAAUGGUUUCAACGGGUAACGGGGAAUUAGGGUUCUAUUCCGGAGAGGGAGCCUGAGAAACGGCUACCACAUCCAAGGAAGGCAGCAGGCGCGCAAAUUACCCAAUCCCGAUACGGGGAGGUAGUGACAAUAAAUACUGAUACAGGGCUCUUUUGGGUCUUGUAAUUGGAAUGAGUACAAUUUAAAUCCCUUAACGAGGAACAAUUGGAGGGCAAGUCUGGUGAGCAAUGCGCUGACGCCAGCCAUAGUGGGCUACAUUAGUCGACUGCACUACAAACUUGGGGUGUGCAGCGGCAAGACAACCUGGAUCGGGGAAGGCUAAGGCAGUAAUGCUAUGCUAAUCCCGAGCCGAGCUGCUAAAUACAGCCGGUGUAGAGCGCGCAAAGGUGUCGGUCCUCUCUCACGAGAGGGCUUGAGGUACGUGCCGUCCCCCACGAAAGCGGGUUGCAAGCCUGAGCUCCCCAAGAGUACAAGGCCUGCAGGACGUUCAGUCGAUUUAAACGGCCAGCAGCCGCGGUAAUUCCAGCUCCAAUAGCGUAUAUUAAAGUUGUUGCAGUUAAAAAGCUCGUAGUUGAACCUUGGGCCUGGUUGGCCGGUCCGCCUCACCGCGUGCACUGGUCCGACCGGGUCUUUCCUUCUGAGGAGCCGCAUGCCCUUUACUGGGUGUGUCGGGGAAUCAGGACUUUUACUUUGAAAAAAUUAGAGU
rnacentral:rRNA from 1 species